rnacentral:rRNA from 1 species
GCGUGAGUGAAGAAGGCCCUAGGGUUGUAAAACUCUUUCAGUCGUGACGAUGAUGACGGUAGCGACAGAAGAAGCCCCGGCUAACUCCGUGCCAGCAGCCGCGGUAAUACGGAGGGGGCUAGCGUUGUUCGGAAUUACUGGGCGUAAAGCGCACGUAGGCGGCUUAUCUAGUUAGAGGUGAAAGGCCCGGGCUCAACCUGGGAACUGCCUUUAAUACUGGUAAGCUAGAGUCCGGGAGAGGGUAGCGGAAUUCCAAGUGUAGAGGUGAAAUUCGU